rnacentral:rRNA from 1 species
GACGAACGCUGGCGGCGUGCUUAACACAUGCAAGUCGAACGGAAAGGCCCUGCUUUUGUGGGGUGCUCGAGGGGCGAACGGGUGAGUAACACGUGAGUAACCUGCCCUUGACUUUGGGAUAACCUCAGGAGACUGGGGCUAAUACCGGAUAGGAGAUCCUGCUGCUUGGGGGGGGUUGGAACGCUUGGGCGGGUGUGGAUGGACUGGGGGGUUAUUAGCUUGUUGGUGGGGUAGUGGCUUAGCAAGGCAUUGGCGGGUAGCCGGCCUGAGUGGUGGGCCGGCCACCUGGGGCCUGAGGUACGGACCAGACUGCUACGGGAGGCAGCAGUGGGGAGUAUUGCACAGUGGGCGGAAGUCUGUGGCGGAAGCGCCGCGUGCGGGAUGACGGCCUUCGGGUUGUAAAGCGCUUUCGCCUGUGACGUAGCGGGAGUGACGGUAAUGGGUAAAGAAGCACCGGCUAACUACGUG